AGGAUUUGGAGGAAUGUGAAGAUGCCACUUAAAGUGCUAUUGACUUGAUCUUGCCCUUCUUGAAUAGUGGCCAAUGUCUGAGUGGUGUUUUGGUUCCACUAACGCUGGUCAUUCCAAUUCUGCUCAUUGUGAGCAAGAGAAGCGUGGAUGUAGUUUUAGAAUGCUAUUUGUUCAUUAUAAUGCUGCUGGGUAUAGAAAAACCCAGAAGCAUCAGACCUGAGUCCUUGCUCAAAGUCUUGUUCCUCAUCUUCUGUCCUCUCACCAUAGGUACUAAAUGAAUGUCUUGGUGCUUCACCUGAGGGACCUUCCCCUGUAGGGAUGAAUGUUGGUGGCUGGUAGUACCCAUAUGGAUGGUAGGCAGGAUGGAACGGGGGAUACAUCCUAAGGUUCAGUGGGCGGCGCUGGCGUGCCUGCCAUUCAUCAUAACUGGUGUGCACUGGUGCUUCAUGAGUGGGGUCAGCUCUGAGCCAGACUGGUUCGUGUUGACAAGCAAACCUUUCAAAGGUUGUCCUCUGAGGUGCCCUCUCAAAAGUUUCUCCCUAAGCUCCUCUCUUGUUCAUCGUCGUGCCUAAAACUUAAUGUGCAAUGUUUCGACAGAAUACAAUGCCAUCUCCGGGUUAGCUAACCAGAGCUUGGUGUCCCUAUAAGUCAUAUAUAAAUCCCCUUUUAUUUUCUUCACUAGGUGCACAUGAUUGAAAUGCUCAUAAAUUUAUCUAUGUGUAUCGAUGAAAUCCAAAGAGGCACCCUCAAUUAAUUUAAGCUUAAAGGCCAAGUGAGUAACAAUGGAACAGAUUGCCACAUCUCCUACUUUAUAGUCAGGAAUGCUUAACCAGUGAUCUACUAAAGUAUGUACAGGUGACAUUCUUAUUUUCUUAACUGCUGCAUAAAUCAAUUGUAAAUCUAUGGCUCUGAUUUUGCUAGCAUCAUCUCAGGGGAAGAAAGUUGUACCCUACCACUUAUGCAAGAACCUAAGUGUAGGGUGCUCUAUAUCCCGGGUACCUUUUUCCAUGGAAGAAAGGCUCUUUAGAAAUCUCAAUCCAAAAUUUAUGCGUAUCAAAAUCUUUUAAAGCUUCUUUUAAGUCUACACAUGCAUUUAUAGGAAAGCCUAAAAGAUCACUAAGAUUUCUCCAUGUUAGACAGAAUUCUUGGGUAAACAAUCUAAAAUAAACUCCUAUCUGGGUGAGUUGAAGGGUGCAAAGGAAUUCUAUAGUUAAAAGCUUGGACCUUAACUCAGUAAUAGUUGCAAAAGAACUCCAACCAACAAACUAGAAAAUAGUAUCGAGUUCAGUUGCCAUACCUAUUUCGUAGAGGAAUACCUCGUCUAGGACUAGCGUGUGAACGAAGCUCUUGUUCUUCAGUUUGUUGUAGAUGUUCUUUUGUCUCAAAUCUCUCAAGGAAAGGUGAGUUGCUAUGAGGAGAACCCUUUGUGGUGCAGCAGAAGAGAAACCUGGCUGGGGGAUAGUGGGAGGAUCGGUGCUCAUGUCGGAGUCGGCUCUUGAUGAAGCGUAUCGAGAUGAGCACCUUGUCGUCAUUCCUGUGACCUUGUUCGCGAUUCCCUUUACCCAGCUCUUCAUCCUGCAAAAAAAUGCUUAGAAACAAAAACAACACUAGUGCAAGGGAUUAGUGAUGGUCAGCCAUCCGGAGGUUAGUCGUUCUUCCCAGAUUAUCUCUAGUUUCUAGUUUGGAUUUUGGCAGAACCUCGCCUUGAUUUUAGAAUUCUUAAACCCAGUUGGACAACACUCCACUAAUUUCUCUAUGAAUUUCUUGCAACACUACUCUUCUCACACUAGCCCUUGAGCUCUUGAUCACUCUCCUUAGUUCCCACCCUCUUCUCUACUCUUUCUAUGCUUUCCUUCUCUCCCAAACUCUCUCUGGACACUUAGAGGCUGAGAGCAAGAUGUUUGUCUACUGAAACUAGUCAUGUG
rnacentral:lncRNA from 1 species